rnacentral:rRNA from 1 species
CCUACGGGUGGCAGCAGUGAGGAAUAUUGGUCAAUGGUCGGGAGACUGAACCAGCCAAGCCGCGUGAGGGAGGAAGGUACAGAGUAUCGUAAACUUCUUUUGUCAGGGAACAAAGGCGGGGACGUGUCCCCGGAUGAGUGUACCUGAAGAAAAAGCGUCGGCUAACUCCGUGCCAGCAGCCGCGGUAAUACGGGGGAUGCGAGCGUUAUCCGGAUUUGUUGGGUUUAAGGGGUGCGAGGACGGUCUGUUAGGUCAGCGGUAAAAGCCCGGGGCUCAACCCCGGCCCGCCGUUGAAACUGGCAGUCUCGAGUGGGAGAGAGGUAUGCGGAAUGCGCGGUGUAGCGGUGAAAUGCAUAGAUAUCGCGCAGAACACCGAUUGCGAAGGCAGCAUGCCGGCUCAACACUGACGCUGAGGCACGAAAGCGUGGGUAUCGAACAGGAUUAGAUACCCCGGUAGUC